GUGGCUGUCUCUUCCAGGAAUAAGACGAAUUGGCCAAAUUUAGUCACAUUAUGUCUUAUUCUGCUAAAAUAAGAGUAAGUAUGUAUACAAGAAACUCAUUUUUGUAUGCAUCUACAUGUAGGGAAUGUAAAACCGAAUGUCACUUUGGUGGAUGUAGCUGUCCCUCCCAGGAAUAAGACGAAAUGGCCAAAUUUAGUCACAUUUUGUUUUAUUCUGCUGAAAUAAGAGGAAUGUGAAACCGAAUGUCACUUUGGUGGGUGUGGCUGUCCCUCCCAGGAAUAAGACGAAAUGGCCAAAUUUAGUCACAUUUUGUCUUAUUCUGCGGAAAUAAGAG